CCUACGGGAGGCAGCAGUAGGGAAUCUUCCGCAAUGGACGAAAGUCUGACGGAGCAACGCCGCGUGAGCGAUGAAGGCCUUCGGGUCGUAAAACUCUGUUGUUAGGGAAGAACAAGUACCGGAGUAACUGCCGGUACCUUGACGGUACCUAACCAGAAAGCCACGGCUAACUACGUGCCAGCAGCCGCGGUAAUACGUAGGUGGCAAGCGUUGUCCGGAAUUAUUGGGCGUAAAGCGCGCGCAGGCGGUUUCUUAAGUCUGAUGUGAAAGCCCACGGCUCAACCGUGGAGGGUCAUUGGAAACUGGGAGACUUGAGUGCAGAAGAGGAGAGUGGAAUUCCACGUGUAGCGGUGAAAUGCGUAGAGAUGUGGAGGAACACCAGUGGCGAAGGCGACUCUCUGGUCUGUAACUGACGCUGAGGCGCGAAAGCGUGGGGAGCAAACAGGAUUAGAUACCCUGGUAGUCCACGCCGUAAACGAUGAGUGCUAAGUGUUAGAGGGUUUCCGCCCUUUAGUGCUGCAGCUAACGCAUUAAGCACUCCGCCUGGGGAGUACGGCCGCAAGGCUGAAACUCAAAGGAAUUGACGG
rnacentral:rRNA from 1 species